CUGUGUGUGUGGCACUCGUCGCCUUUGUGGGAAAUCCGUGUGGCACUUGUUUGGUGUUGUUGGCAGACUUCGGUCUUGCCUUCACACACGUUUCACAUGUGUCAUGCCUUCCCUCAACUCACGGCAUCCAGGAAUGAAGGAGGGUAGUUCGGGGGAGAACGUACUGGUGCGUCAGAGGUGAAAUUCUUAGACCGCACCAAGACGAACUACAGCGAAAGCAUUCUUCAAGGAUACCUUCCUCAAUCAAGAACCAAAGUGUGGGGAUCGAAGAUGAUUAGAGACCAUUGUAGUCCACACUGCAAACGAUGACACCCAUGAAUUGGGGAGUUUUUGGUCGUAGGCGUGGUCGGGCUUGAUUA
rnacentral:rRNA from 1 species